AUGGGGGACCAUGAGACUGUCAUCGAAAGGGAUGAGCAGAGAGAAAUUGAACAGAAGUUUGAGGAACUCUUGUUGGAUUACCAGAUCAGUGAAAAUGAAAGCCUGCAAGAUGUCACAUUUGAAGACAGGAUGAGAAACCUCCAGACUGAGCUGACAGUCCAAUACUUUAGAGAGAAGCACCUCUCCCUUUGGCCUCUUUUUACCUUAGAGAAUGCCAUCAUGUAUGAAGAUCUCUCUCUAACUGAGAGGUUCUGUAUCCUUAAGGCCGUGACAGAGGUAACACUGGCAGGCAACCCGGAUGCCGUCAAUGGGGAUGUCCACCAACUUGAGUGUGCCAAGAGGUAUAACUUCCACCUUAGUCUUCUUGAGCAUCUGAAUGGUUCAAAUUCCACUCUGGCAGGUAAACUUCUUUUGGCUUUUUUUGACACAUUUUCAGAUGUGUCUCAGACCAGCAGGGAGCUCCUUAGUCAAAUUCUCUUCAGUAACAUCUGGACACCUGUAGAAAUCCUGCUCUUUCUUCGUGGGGUUGGUUCCAUGGACCAGAAGAAAACAGAUGCAAUCCUUCAUACAGUGCAGACCUACAGGCUGGAUCUUCUCUCCACACUCUCUGCCCUUAGAAGUAAUGAUCCCAAUAAGACUCUGCAAGGUUAUGCAGAAGAAGAAACUGACAAAGAUAUUGACACCAUUUUGAGUGAGAUGCGGGAUGCAAAUUACCCCGAAAAGUUACUCUCUAUAAUGGAGACUGUCUUAGGACAUAUAGAAGAGAAGCUUUCAAAAGAUCCCAUGGUAGACACACAGAAGAAACUGAGCAAGAGAGAAAAAAUGGAAAUGAUCAAAGACUUCAAGAACAAAAUUAAAUUGUUGAAUUUUGCUGAGGCAGACAACACUAUCCUCAAGGAAGUUCUUAUUACAAUGUGUAUUGCUGUUAAAGACUGCACAGCCGUUUCCACUCAAAGUGGAGAGCAAAUCAAGGGAUAUUUUCCCAGACUCACCCAGCUGGCAUCAUUAGUCAUGCUCCUUCUACCAAAGGCAACAUCAGAUAAAGGAUGCCUCUUAGAAAUUGGCACAGGAGAAGGAAAGUCUUGCAUUCUAGCUAUGUUUGCAGCAAUCCAGGCCAUCAGAGGGGCCACAGUCGACAUUGUGACCAGUUCUCCAAUCCUUGCACGACGGGACGAAGAGGAGUGGAGAAAACUUUUUGACAUGUUUGAUAUCACAUCCUCCGUUGUGCCUCCACCGUUGAUGAAGGAGAGCAGCCUUAAAAGCUGUGACAAAAUACUACAGGACGCUUACAAAAGACAGAUUGUGUAUGGAACUGUAAGUGACUUUGCAGCAGACACUUUGAGGCAGGAAUUUGAGAAAAACACCACUCGUGGGGAGAGGAAGUUUGACUUAGUGAUUGUGGAUGAAGUAGAUUACAUGACCUUGGACAGUGGAGUGCAGGUGACCUUCCUGUCUCAUGAAGCCAGCGGCCUUAGGCACGUUGAGCAAGUCCUUGCUAGCAUUUGGUGCAUGAUAUCCGUGUGUCGGCCUAUUCGAAUGGAAGAAACGGGGGAGACUGAGUGGAUAACUGGGAUACAGCAUUUUCACAAGGCUGCAAAGAUGGCUGUUAUGGGCUCAGACAGAUCUGAACACUUUUCUGAAUUUAAUAUUCUGCAAACAGGGUUGCAGUUUGGAUUUUACACACAGGAAGACAUUGAUACAUUGAUGCAGAGUGAAAGUGAGGCACAAAGAGAUGGUAAAGCUGAUGAUUUUCAAGAUGAGAAUUGGAAAGCUAUUGAGGUGUUCAUGACUAAAAUUGGAGUGGAACAACAAUAUGAUCUGCUCAGUAUUCUUGAGACGGCAUUAGAUCAAACUGUUUUCAUCGACUGUUACACAUUAACAAAUAAUAAAGCCACAUCAAUUGGAGAGAAAAAAAGGGACAGUGACAUGAAAAUCAAAAUGCUUCUCCUCAACAAUGGACGAGCUAGUGAAAUAAUGUCUGAAAAAUCACUAAUUGAUGCAGUUGUUCUUGAGAUACAAUCUAAAAUCAUAUAUUCUGACCAAUGUCAGCCAAACUCAGAGGAAACCGAUAACUAUAUUGUGAUCCCCUUCUUCCUUAAGAAGUACAUUGAGAAUCGGAUGCCAGUCUUUGUGGGAAAUGCCUUAAAAGCUAUUGCAAUGAAACAAGGCAGAGAGUACAUGAUUGGCAUGUCUUCUGACGCUAAUCCAAGCACUGUCAGUGAGUCUGACAAACAUUUCUACCAUGCCAUCAUCCCAGUGGACUACCAGGCCAGUGGAGUACUGGAAAAGAACAAACGCUGGGGUGACGGCCUUCAACAGUUUCUAGAGAUGAAGCACCAGUUGGCCAUAUCAUCGCUAUCCAAUGUUACAAAUUAUAUGUCAAAUAUCCAUUACUUUAAAAGAUACCUUAAAGGGAGUGGCAUAUUUGGUGUUUCUGGAACAUUAGGUGGAAAUGCAGACAAACACUUCUUGAAAAGCCAUUACAAAUCAGACAGCUAUACGAUACCUUCUCACAGGCACAAUAAGGUAGUUGAACUCCCCGCUCUUCAGGUAAGCGGUGAUGACUUAAAAUGGAUAGAGGUAGUCUGUGAAAGUGCAUUGAAAGCUGCCGACAGGAACCAGGUCGUCUUGGUGGUUUGUGAGGAUGUUAAGACAGCAAAUGAAUUACAGGUGGCAAUGGCCAACCGAAGAGCAAAUCAACGACAUCCAAUCACCAUGUACACAAUCAGUGAGAGAGACAACAUUGAGCAAACCACAUUCAGUGGGGGAAGCAUCAUUAUCGCCACCAAUCUGGGAGGACGUGGCACAGACAUUAGAUUGGAGCAGAAAGUGAAUCAAUGCGGCGGACUCUUUGUCCUUCUCACGCACUUUCCUGACAAUCGCAGAGUGGAGAAACAGGUGUUUGGACGCACAGCCAGAAAAGGAAAUUCCGGCAUGGUACAAAUGAUACUCCAUUGUGACCAACUGGCACCAGCGUACCAGGGCCAGCCUGUGGAGAUCAUGAGGCAGCUAAGAGAGGAUCAUGAAAUCCAACGCAUCACUGGUAUGGAGACAAAUGAGCUGCAGGAAAUUGAAAGGAAGGAAAAAUUAUUUUCAACAGUUUGCCAAUUUCUUGACAAUUUUGACAGCAACUACUCAGAAAAAGAGAGAGAGAACCUGUUGACAAUAAAGGUGGAGGAACAUAGUUUCAGACGUCAAGGCGAUAAGCUUGAUUACCAGCCAGCACUCAAUGCUCUGAAAGAAUCCUGGGCAUUGUGGUUGACCCUUCAUGAGACCCAUAUCGAGAAGGAUGAUGAUAUCUCUGACUUGGAAGCAGACUUACUUCAACAAUUGACAAACACAAGGAACAUGAUGUUGAAAGGACAAAGCCGAAAUUUCUAUGACCAUCUGAAGCAGGCUGUUGUUAGAACCAACCUGCACUGCCGUGAUAAAACCAAGUGGGACUAUGAUGCAAAAUCUUCCUGGCAGAAAGCUGCAAAAUGUGACCCCUUUUACAGAGCAGUGGCGCUAUACAACCAAGCUUACAUCACAAUUAACCUGGCAGAGAGUGACCAUAAAACAGAGGCUAGUAAAUUACUGCAGGAAGCAAAAGACACACUAGGUAUCUAUAUCUCUGAAACAACAAACACUUUGAAUGCAUGUCAGAUGGCAAUGAGGGGCAACUUUGAGCCACAUCAUGAUGGUGUCUGCAAUUUCCAAAGUCAGAUGCAAUCUAGGAUGAAUAUUUUCCAAGCAUGGCUGGGAUACAUUAACAGUACACUGAAAAAACUUGCAGAGCUAAAGAACAGUAAAAGUAGCGCCAUAACAGAGGAUUCCUCAGUGUAUGCACUCUCAGACGGGACAGACUAUGUCACCACAAAUGAACUCAUGGGCCUGUAUGAGUACGGCCUUGGCAUGGUGUUCGAAGUAAAAGAGAAGCCAAGGUUCAACAUUGAUGCUCUUGUGUGUUUUUUACUGGGUGCAUGUCAGGUUCUGGCUGGAGUUCUUGUUUGUGCUCUGUCCUAUGGCUCCGCCUCCCAGUUUGGUCUUGCCUUGAUCUCAGAGGGAGUGUCUGACAUGAUCAGUGGGUGUGAUGGCAUGAUAACUGGCAGUUUCAGUUGGGCAUCGUGGGCCAUCUCCAAAAGCAUCGGUAUUGGGAUAUCUUUGCUCACUUCUGGAUUUGGCACCAUCAAGAGAGCUGUCCAGUCUGUAUAUAAAGCCACAAAAGGCUUGCUAACAGGUACAAAAACCCUGUCAUCUGUUGCAAAAGGUGUCAUUAAAUCAGGGAAACAUGCAUUCAUGUCUUUCAAAGGCAGUGUCACAGCGGUCUCCUCUCUGUCCCUAGGUACAGUGAAGAAGCUGGGCACGAAAACUGUAGUCAAACAGACUUUCAAACAUGCAACCAAGUAUGCAGGACAGGAAAUGGCUAAGCAGAUAGUUACCCACACAUUGCAUUACUUCAUUGAUGCAGGGCUUCAAGCUGUACUGAAGGAGAUUUUGAACAAGGCUUUCAAGGAUUCAAUCACCUCUGUAGUUAAAGAGAAUGAUGCAUUGAGUCACACUCUCACAGAGCUUGUAUGUGCUGGAGUUCCAAAAUCAGCUUUACAGAAACAAGCUGCUGAGUUCAAGAUAGACAGGGAGUGUGAAAAAAGUAUUAAAGAUUUAGUAAAAUCAGUGACAGAAAAAAUUAUUUCUGAUCUUAUGAUAGAUUGCAGCACAGUGCAUGAGAUCAUUGACAGAGUCUCUCAGGUGUGUAGCAAAGCGUCAGACCUUAUGGACAACGCAGGAGUGCCUGGAAAAGUCCAAACUGCUAUCUCUGCAAGCCUCUGCAUAGCAGAGUUCAGUACAGUGCUAGUCCAAAUGUUGAACUCUAUCCCUACAGAAAAAUGUAUCAAUGACAGAUUCUCUUCCAAGUUGAUAAAAGAAAUUCAUGCGCAACUGCCAAAUGGGUAUGACCAGGAUGGCAGACACAGACUCCUUGAUGUGGGACGCCUGAAGAAUGAGCUCCUCGAGGGCAUCUCAGAGAAUGUCUCCCAGGAAUUUAUUGAGUCCUGUGCCAGACACAUGAACUCCUUGAUAACACAUAUUUUUAAGGAAAAGAUCAAUAAAGUCACGAACGCCAUUGGCAAUACCACUAGCAACAUGCUUGGCAGGUACAAAACGGAAAACUAUUUCGUAGAGCAGAAGCAGAGGCAUGACAUGAAAUCAGCCAGUAAGCAUGCAGGGGAGUCUACAUGUGAGAUUGAACAGUCGGACCUCCAUCAUUACAUCAAUAACAUCAGUGAUAUUGACCGCCCUGCUUCAGAGCUGGACAUCUAUGUCCUUACAAAGAGUGACCUACUCCAGGGCCAAGGCAUCAGGGUCAAGGUAGUGGAUAAACAUGGGAAACCACUCGAUGAGCAAUCCUACCCAGGCACUGACUGCUCAGCAGGAUACAUCACACUCAAACUGACCAUGGAGCCAGAGACAGCUAAAAGUGAGAUGGGUCUGUUAUCUCACAUACAAGACCGAAUCCAAGGUGUUCAAACUGCGUACAGCGGCCAUUUUACCAUUGUUCAACCAGAUGGAUGUGAGACCAGGGUGAUGUCAGAGGGCCAGAAUUGCAUGUACCAUGCCUUAAUCCAGGCAACAUCCAGAAGCCAGGAGCAGGACAUCAAAGAACAGGCAAGGAUUCUGCGCAAAAAAGUACAAAGCGAGGUUCAGGAAAACCUCCCAACCUACUGUGAGUUAGUAAAACUCCAGAAGCGCUAUGAUAAUGUUAUGGAUCCUGGAAAAUAUUCCAUAUUGGGAGGGGUAAGGCCAGAAAAGAAGAUUAUCAGCCAGGACUACAGGGAUGCCAUCGCACCUAUGACGGAAACCGACUAUAUCAUUGCCCAGCUUUACGACCUUGGUUAUGUUGCCACAUACAAAGAUGUAAGAAACACCAUAUUGUCUGGAAGGUACGCUGUGGAAGCCGACCACAUCAUACCAAAGGACACAUUAAGGAAGGCACUAGUACACCGUGACUUGGAAAAACUCAAGAGUUCUCUACCAACAUCACCGCACUGCCUUGACAACUGGCAAUUGCAUGGAGGCCAAACUGUGCAGGGCACUGCUGGCUGA
ensembl:lncRNA